UGAAAUAAUGAAUGAAAAAGGGACUUAAUACUGAAACCUAAUAUUAUAUUUUGAUAUGAGGAUGUGC
rnacentral:snoRNA from 1 species